UACGUAGGGUGCAAGCGUUUGUCCGGAAUUAUUGGGCGUAAAGGGCUCGUAGGCGGUCCAUCGCGUCGGGAGUGAAAAGCUGGGGCUUAACCCCAGUCCUGCUUCCGAUACGGGUGGACUAGAGGUAGGUAGGGGAGAACGGAAUUCCUGGUGUAGCGGUGAAAUGCGCAGAUAUCAGGAGGAACACCGGUGGCGAAGGCGGUUCUCUGGGCCUUACCUGACGCUGAUGAGCGAAAGCUAGGGAGCAAACGGG
rnacentral:rRNA from 1 species